AUUGAACGCUGGCGGCAGGCCUAACACAUGCAAGUCGAGCGGAUGAAGGGAGCUUGCUCCUGGAUUCAGCGGCGGACGGGUGAGUAAUGCCCAGGAAUCUGCCUGGUAGUGGGGGAUAACGUCCGGAAACGGGCGCUAAUACCGCAUACGUCCUGAGGGAGAAAGUGGGGGAUCUUCGGACCUCACGCUAUCAGAUGAGCCUAGGUCGGAUUAGCUAGUUGGUGGGGUAAAGGCCUACCAAGGCGACGAUCCGUAACUGGUCUGAGAGGAUGAUCAGUCACACUGGAACUGAGACACGGUCCAGACUCCUACGGGAGGCAGCAGUGGGGAAUAUUGGACAAUGGGCGAAAGCCUGAUCCAGCCAUGCCGCGUGUGUGAAGAAGGUCUUCGGAUUGUAAAGCACUUUAAGUUAGGAGGAAGGGCAGUAAGUUAAUACCUUGCUGUUUUGACGUUACCAACAGAAUAAGCACCGGCUAACUUCGUG
rnacentral:rRNA from 1 species